rnacentral:lncRNA from 1 species
AAUGGUGCCAGCUCGACCACAGGGUAGAUAAGACACCAUAAGGUCUCACUCUGUUGCCUACAUUGGAGUGCAGUGGCACAAUCAGGGCUUACUGCAACCUUGACUCAAGCGAUCCUCCCACCUCAGCCCACUCAAAUAGCUGGGACUACAGGCCUGCACCACCAGCUGGGCUAAUAGACAAGGCUUCACCAUGUUGCCCAGGCUGGUCUCAAACUCCUGGACUCAAAUAAUCCACCCACCUCAGCCUCCCAAAGUGUCAGAAUUACAGGCAUGAGCCACUGCACCCGGCUGAUAACUUUUCUUUUUCAUAGCUAUUUCGUUCUCUAUUUUGUGGAUGCACCAUAAUUGAUUUAACAAGUCCCCUGUUGAUGGAUAUUUGUUAUUGUUUUUCUCUCUUUUUUUCUUUUCAAUUUGUAUGGGUUCAUAGUAGGUUUAUAUAUUUAUGGGUUAUGUGAGAUAUUUUGAUACAGGCAUACAAAGCCAAAUAAUCACUUCAGGAUAAAUGGAGUGUUCAUCACCUCAAGCGUUUCUUUGUGUUAGAAAUAUUCCAAUUAUACUCUUUUAGUUAUUUUUAAAUGUACAAUAAAUUUUUGUUGACUGUAGUCACCCUGUUGUGCUAUCAAAUACUAGAUUUUAUUCAUUCUAACUAUAUUUUAGUAACCAUUAACCAUCCUCAUUUUCCUCCCCACCCCCACUACCCUUCCUAGCCACCAAUAACCAUUAUUCUUUUCUUUAUCUUCAUCAGUUCAAUUGUUUUAAUUUUUAGCUCCCACAAAUGAGUGAGAACAUGUGAAAUUUAUCCUUCCAUGCCUGGCUUAUUCCAUUUAACAUAAUAUCCUCCAGUUCCAUCCAUGUUGUUGCAAAUGAUAAGAUCUCAUUUUUUAUGGCUGAAUAGUACUUCAUUGUGUGUGCACCACAUUUUUUUUUAAUUUUACUUUAAGUUUCAGAAUACAUGUGCAGAACAUGCAGGUUUGUUACAUAGGUAUACAUGUGCCAUGGUGGUUUGCUGUACCUAUCAACCCGUCAUCUAGGUUUUAAGCCCCACAUGCAAUAGGUAUUUGUCCUAAUACUCUCCUUCCCCUUGCCCUCCACCCCGCAACAGGCCCUGGUAUGUGUUGUUUCCCUCUCUGUGUCCAUGUGUUCUCAUUGUUCAAUUUCCACU